GAUGUAUUCUCUGGAUGUUACAGAUGAGGAAACAGAAGCUCAGAGACAUGAAGUCCUUUUCCCAUGAUCACACAGCAGGGUAGUGGCUGCUGUGCUUAAGCCUAAGCCUAGGCUGAUGUGCUUGCCCUUCUGGCCCUGCCUGGACAUUGGUAGAAAAAGCCGUACCCCAAGUUUCCCUUAAAACUCAUCUACCCGUCCUCUCUCCCUGCCGAGCCACCUGAUCUCAUCAGUCCCCUCUCUCCCUGCUCCCCCAACACCUUCUCCUUUCCCUCACUUUGCCCAGUCUUGCCUCCCAGUCCCUCCCCACCCCAGCUAUGCUUUUGUUUCAGCCUUACCUCCAGGGGCCCUCAGAUUAAGAAACAAGGAUGUUAAGACAGUCAAGGCCUGCAGUAACAAAUUACCACCGACAGGCUUAACGACCCCGGAAGUGUGCUCCCUCACAGCUCCGGAAGCCAGCAGCCCAAAAUGUAAGCGCCGAAGGGGCCACGUUCCCUCUGAAGGAUCUGAGAGAUCCUUCCCUGCCUCUUCCAGCCUCCGGGGGCUCCUGGUGUUCCUUGGCUCAUGAAUACAUAACUCCAGCCUCUG